rnacentral:rRNA from 1 species
CAGUGGCUAAGACUGGAUAGGAAGAUAAAAGGCAUCUUUUAUCUUUUAAAAGACCUAGUAAUAGGUAUGCUUUAGGAGGGGCUUGCGCCAUAUUAGUUAGUUGGUAGGGUAAUGGCCUACCAAGACGAUGAUGUGUAGCUGGACUGAGAGGUUGAACAGCCACAUUGGGACUGAGACACGGCCCAAACUCCUACGGGAGGCAGCAGUAGGGAAUUUUCGGCAAUGGAGGAAACUCUGACCGAGCAACGCCGCGUGAAUGACGAAGUACUUCGGUAUGUAAAGUUCUUUUAUCAAGGAAGAAAAGCAAAUGGCGAACCAUUUGUUUGCCGGUACUUGAUGAAUAAGCCCCGGCUAAUUAUGUGCCAGCAGCCGCGGUAAGACAUAAGGGGCAAGUGUUAUCCGGAAUUAUUGGGCGUAAAGGGUGCGUAGGCGGUCUAGUAAGUCAGUGGUGUAAUGGCAACGCUUAACGUUGUCCGGCUAUUGAAACUGCUAAACUUGAGUUAGAUAGAGGCGAGUGGAAUUCCAUGUGUAGCGGUAAAAUGCGUAAAUAUAUGGAGGAACACCAGAGGCGUAGGCGGCUCGCUGGGUCUUAACUGACGCUGAGGCACGAAAGCGUGGGGAGCAAACAGGAUUAGAUACCCUGGUAGUCCACGCCGUAAACGAUGAGUACUAAGUGUCGGGUUAAACCGGUACUGAAGUUAACACAUUAAGUACUCCGCCUGAGUAGUACGUACGCAAGUAUGAAACUUAAAGGAAUUGACGGGACUCCGCACAAGCGGUGGAUCAUGUUGUUUAAUUCGAAGAUACCCGAAAAACCUUACCAGGUCUUGACAUGUUUUUGCAAAAUGAUAGUAAUAUCGUGGAGGUUACCAGAAACACAGGUGGUGCAUGGUUGUCGUCAGCUCGUGUCGUGAGAUGUUAGGUUAAGUCCUAAAACGAGCGAAACCCUUAUCGUUAGUUGCCAGCACGUUAUGGUGGGGACUUUAACGAGACUGCCAAUGAUAAAUUGGAGGAAGGUGAGGAUCACGUCAAAUCAGCAUGCCCCUUAUGACCUGGGCUACAAACGUGAUACAAUGGCUGUUACAAAGGGUAGCUGAAACGCAAGUUCUUGGCCAAUCCCCAAAAACAGUCCCAGUCCGGAUUGAAGUCUGCAACUCGACUUCAUGAAGUUGGAAUCGCUAGUAAUCGCGAAUCAGCAUGUCGCGGUGAAUACGUUCUCGGGGUUUGUACACACCGCCCGUCAAACCACGAAAGUKGGCAAUA